AAACGGUCUGGCGCUGGCGCCGGUUCGGCACGCAGCGCCAGACAGGAAACAAAAGGUUCACAGCAACAUCACGGCGCAGCGACCAAAGGGGACCUUCGCGUCGGUCGGUCCCCAUGCGGUCGUGCGCUCCCCCAACAAAAAUUACCCAUACACCGAAAAACACGGAAAAAAAGAAAGAAAAAAGAAAAUGCAUUGAUGGUUCAAUGGGGCGGAUGGCGGCCGAUGAUGGGCGUUAGGCCCGCGGCCAUGCGCUCGAUGCACUGCGGGCAGUCGGGCGGCGGAAGGGCCAGCGGUGCCGCGGGAAUGACCCCAAGGGCCGGAACGAGGGCGUCGCCGACAAACACAUUCAUCAGGUAGACGCCCGUACCGGGAAAGGCCGUGCCAAUGUCGGCGCCGCCGCCGGGCUCUGCCGCCGCAGCGGUGGCCUCGUCCCGCGCGGCCACACGCUCACGAACGGACCGAUCGGCCUCCUCCACCUGCGCAAGCGUGGCGCCACCGACAGAGGCGUCGGCGCGCACCCGCCUCUGGCGGCGCACGGCGGCGUCUACGGCGAGUUCGAGGCCGCGCAGUUCGGCAUCGGCGAUGGCGUCAGACACGGCGGCGAUCACCGCGUCGGUGCCGCCGGGCACACUGGCAAAGGCCUGGUCGUUGGCGACACUCUCGGGCGUCCAGCGAUCGAUGGGCGCGUUCAUGACCGGUAUGGGCGAGACACGGGCGGGUGCCGGUGCCGACGCGCCCAGCGGAACGACGUCGACGACGCGCGGCGUGCCCAACAAACCGCGUAGACGCAACUGGAGGCUGUUUUCGGGCGCGUCGGCCAUUGUAAUGGCGCUGGGCUCUGCCGGUGUGUCGGCGACAGCGCCGCGGUCCUGGGCCUCGGCGAGCCACUCGUCAUAGGCCACGCUCAGACCGUAGAGGGCGCGUCGACGGCGCUCGGCCUGCUGGCGACGCCACAGCAGCAACUGCGCCAGCGUGUCGUCGAGGGCUUCGGGGCCAAAAAAGGGCUCGGCCGCCGGGUCAAAGUCGGUGACGUAGGCCUCGACCCAGCCGAGACCGGGCGUGUCGCACAUCUGCCGGCGGCCGGGCGACGAUGCGCAAUACUGUUCGAGCAGGUCAAACUGGCCGGCGCCAAAGAGAGCCUGGGCCUCGUGCCAGCGCGCCCACACGAUGGCCUCUUGCGGCGACAGGGUGCGCGGCGACGCGCCCGGCUCGACCGGCCCGACAAAGAGGUCGGCGGCCUCGGGAAAGACGACGGCGAGCGCCGGCCACGCGAUCCCGCACAGGCCGGGGGCCGACGCACAGAGACGCUCUGCGCGAUCAAUGGCAUCCUCGGUGCCCUCGGCCAGCGUCUGCGCAAAGACGCGCACGAAUUGGAGCGCGGCCUGCUGUUGGCGUUGUCGCUGUUCUUGGGCCGAGGCCACAGGCGCCUGUGCGGUUUGCAUCGUGUUGUCUGCAACGAUCACUGGCCGCACGGGUCGGUUUCAGUCGCGCCUGUGUGUAGGUGUGUUGCUUGCGCGCGCGUGGGUCAAAGGAGGCGCGCCGGUUUGCUUGCUCGGUCUUUUUUUUCCCCAUGAGCGCCGUGCCUUUUCGCCGUUGGGUGGGGCGGCCGACCUUGCGCGCACGCACGCGACGCCGAGCCCGUCGUCGUCGGGCAAUCACACAGCGCCCCCGUAACACUGCUUUUUUCCUUUUCUUUUUUUUUUGCUGGCGCUUUUGGUGUCGGCGCCGGCUCCUCACACGAGCACGCACCUUUUUUUUUCUCUGAGCAACAGCAACUCGGACCAAAAAAGACGUCAAACCACC
rnacentral:lncRNA from 1 species